GAUGAACGCUGGCGGCGUGCCUAAUACAUGCAAGUCGAGCGAACAGACGAGGAGCUUGCUCCUCUGACGUUAGCGGCGGACGGGUGAGUAACACGUGGAUAACCUACCUAUAAGACUGGGAUAACUUCGGGAAACCGGAGCUAAUACCGGAUAAUAUAUUGAACCGCAUGGUUCAAUAGUGAAAGACGGUUUUGCUGUCACUUAUAGAUGGAUCCGCGCCGCAUUAGCUAGUUGGUAAGGUAACGGCUUACCAAGGCAACGAUGCGUAGCCGACCUGAGAGGGUGAUCGGCCACACUGGAACUGAGACACGGUCCAGACUCCUACGGGGGGCAGCAGUAGGGAAUCUUCCGCAAUGGGCGAAAGCCUGACGGAGCAACGCCGCGUGAGUGAUGAAGGUCUUCGGAUCGUAAAACUCUGUUAUUAGGGAGGAACAAAUGUGUAAGUAACUAUGCACGUCUUGACGGUACCUAAUCAGAAAGCCACGGCUAACUACGUG
rnacentral:rRNA from 1 species